AUUGAACGCUGGCGGCAGGCCUAACACAUGCAAGUCGAGCGGAUGAGAAGAGCUUGCUCUUCGAUUCAGCGGCGGACGGGUGAGUAAUGCCUAGGAAUCUGCCUGGUAGUGGGGGACAACGUUUCGAAAGGAACGCUAAUACCGGCAUACGUCCUACGGGAGAAAGCAGGGGGACCUUCGGGCCUUGCGCUAUCAGAUGAGCCUAGGUCGGAUUAGCUAGUUGGUGAGGUAAUGGCUCACCAAGGCGACGAUCCGUAACUGGUCUGAGAGGAUGAUCAGUCACACUGGAACUGAGACACGGUCCAGACUCCUACGGGAGGCAGCAGUGGGGAAUAUUGGACAAUGGGCGAAAGCCUGAUCCAGCCAUGCCGCGUGUGUGAGAAGGUCUUCGGAUUGUAAAGCACUUU
rnacentral:rRNA from 1 species